AAACGUAGGAGGCGAGCGUUAUCCGGAUUUACUGGGCGUAAAGCGCGUGUAGGCGGCUCGGCAAGUUGGAUGUGAAAGCUCCCGGCUCAACUGGGAGAGGUCGUUCAAAACUACCGGGCUUGAGAGUGUGAGAGGGAGGUGGAAUUCCGGGUGUAGUGGUGAAAUGCGUAGAUAUCCGGAGGAACACCAGUGGCGAAAGCGGCCUCCUGGCACACAUCUGACGCUCAGACGCGAAAGCUAGGGUAGCAAACGGGAUUAGAGACCCCGGUAGUCCUAGCCGUAAACGAUGUAGACUUGGCGUGGGUGGGUUCAAAUCCAUCCGUGCCGGAGCUAACGUGUUAAGUCUACCGCCUGGGGACUACGGCCGCAAGGUUAAA
rnacentral:rRNA from 1 species